rnacentral:misc_RNA from 1 species
AAGACUAUAGACCUGCGGAGUACCUGCGGAAGGAUCAUCAAAGAAUUUUCCAAAGAGAAAAUUGAGUUGCUCCUUCUUUUCUUGUAAAAGAGAGAGAAGCGCUCUUUUUUCUCCAAACAAACGAUCACAACUAUUGAAAAAAUAAUUGACUUGGUUGAUGAGAAAUUAUAAGUGUUUGCCUGAUAAUUUGAUGAUUUGGAAACAAGAGAAAGAAAUACAACUUUCAACAACGGAUCUCUA